GAUGAACGCUGGCGGCGUGCCUAAUACAUGCAAGUCGAGCGAACAGACGAGGAGCUUGCUCCUUUGACGUUAGCGGCGGACGGGUGAGUAACACGUAGGUAACCUACCUAUAAGACUGGGAUAACUUCGGGAAACCGGAGCUAAUACCGGAUAAUAUUUCGAACCGCAUGGUUCGAUAGUGAAAGAUGGCUUUGCUAUCACUUAUAGAUGGACCUGCGCCGUAUUAGCUAGUUGGUAAGGUAACGGCUUACCAAGGCAACGAUACGUAGCCGACCUGAGAGGGUGAUCGGCCACACUGGAACUGAGACACGGUCCAGACUCCUACGGGAGGCAGCAGUAGGGAAUCUUCCGCAAUGGGCGAAAGCCUGACGGAGCAACGCCGUGUGAGUGAUGAAGGUCUUCGGAUCGUAAAACUCUGUUAUUAGGGAAGAACAAACGUGUAAGUAACUGUGCACGUCUUGACGGUACCUAAUCAGAAAGCCACGGCUAACUACGUG
rnacentral:rRNA from 1 species